rnacentral:rRNA from 1 species
AGAAUCUUUCGCAAUGGGGGAAACCCUGACGAUGCGACGCCGCGUGGAGGAUGAAGGUCUUCGGAUUGUAAACUUCUGUUCUAUGAGAGGAAAGAUGACGCGUUGAACAACCGCGUUGUUUGACAGUACCAUAGGAGAAAGCCCCGGCAAACUACGUGCCAGCAGCCGCGGUAAUACGUAGGGGGCGAGCGUUGUUCGGAUUCACUGGGCGUAAAGGGUGCGUAGGUGGUCUGAGUAAGUCGAAUGUGAAAUACCAUGGCUCAACCAUGGAAGUGCAUUCGGUACUGCUUGACUAGAGUUCGGGAAAGGAGAGCGGAAUUCUCGGUGUAGCGGUGAAAUGCGUAGAUAUCGAGAAGAACACCAGUGGCGAAGGCGGCUCUCUGGCCCGAAACUGACACUGAGGCACGAAAGCGUGGGGAGCAAAC